UAACAAUGGGAACUAUAAGUGGGGAANAAAU
rnacentral:piRNA from 1 species